rnacentral:misc_RNA from 1 species
GUGAAUCAUCGAAUCUUUGAACGCAAAUUGCGCUCUCUGGUAUUCCGGAGAGUAUGCCUGUUUGAGGGUCAGUUUAAAUAAAAAUCGGUGUGGUUUCGGCCUUUCGUCGUGACGCUCCUGAUUUGGUUUGUCUUGUCUUCGGUUAAGUGACCUAAAUUUUUGCAUGAUUUUUGUCGAACGUAUUUAAAUGAUUUUACGUACGUUUGCGAUAUCGAUUACUAGGUGUGGUCAUCCGCAUG